GAUGAACGCUGGCGGCGUGCCUAAUACAUGCAAGUCGAGCGAACGGACGAGAAGCUUGCUUCUCUGAUGUUAGCGGCGGACGGGUGAGUAACACGUGGAUAACCUACCUAUAAGACUGGGAUAACUUCGGGAAACCGUAGCUAAUACCGGAUAAUAUUUUGAACCGCAUGGCUCAAAAGUGAAAGACGGUCUUGCUGUCACUUAUAGAUGGAUCCGCGCUGCAUUAGCUAGUUGGUAAGGUAACGGCUUACCAAGGCAACGAUGCAUAGCCGACCUGAGAGGGUGAUCGGCCACACUGGAACUGAGACACGGUCCAGACUCCUAUGGGAGGCAGCAGUAGGGAAUCUUCCGCAAUGGGCGAAAGCCUGACGGAGCAACGCCGCGUGAGUGAUGAAGGUCUUCGGAUCGUAAAACUCUGUUAUUAGGGAAGAACAUAUGUGUAAGUAACUGUGCACAUCUUGACGGUACCUAAUCAGAAAGCCACGGCUAACUACGUG
rnacentral:rRNA from 1 species